GACGAACGCUGGCGGCGUGCCUAAUACAUGCAAGUCGAACGAACCGCGACUAGGUGCUUGCACUUGGUCAAGAUGAGUGGCGAACGGGUGAGUAACACGUGGGUAACCUACCUCAUAGUGGGGGAUAACAGUCGGAAACGACUGCUAAUACCGCAUAGGACAUAGGAUCACAUGAUCCAGUGAGGAAAGGUGGCGCAAGCUAUCGCUAAGAGAUGGACCCGCGGUGCAUUAGCUAGUUGGUAGGGUAAAGGCCUACCAAGGCGAUGAUGCAUAGCCGACCUGAGAGGGUGAUCGGCCACAUUGGGACUGAGACACGGCCCAAACUCCUACGGGAGGCAGCAGUAGGGAAUCUUCCGCAAUGGACGCAAGUCUGACGGAGCAACGCCGCGUGAGUGAAGAAGGUCUUCGGAUCGUAAAGCUCUGUUGUUAGAGAAGAACAGCGCAUAGAGUAACUGUUAUGCGUGUGACGGUAUCUAACCAGAAAGCCACGGCUAACUACGUG
rnacentral:rRNA from 1 species